rnacentral:tmRNA from 1 species
CGGCUGGACCCGCGCGGCGAUUUCGCCUAUAUCGAGCCUGCGGUUGAUGACCGGUUCGUAAUAACGUUUCAGGACCCGGAGGGCAGUACUCCGGCGCCUCCACCAAAAGCCCAUCCGCAUCCGCAGGUGGUCUUCUGAUGGGGGCGAAAUAGGAUCGACUGGGCGGUAAAGGGAUCGCGAGUUCGCUCUCACUUCGGUGCGGGACGAUGCGGCUGUCGGUAAGGACUCGACCGGUUCGACGCAGGUAACCCCUGUCUCGAGCAUUUGGCCAAAACUCUAAAUGCCAACGAUAACGUUGUCAUGGAUGCCCGCCUCGCGGCGUAAGCAUCUUGCGGUAGGGUAACCGUCGAAACAGAACCCGGAGCU